rnacentral:rRNA from 1 species
UAAUACGGAGGAUCCAAGCGUUAUCCGGAUUUAUUGGGUUUAAAGGGUGCGUAGGCGGUCCUAUAAGUCAGUGGUGAAAGACGGCAGCUUAACUGUCGCAGUGCCUUUGAUACUGUAGGACUUGAAUCUAUUUGAAGUGGGCGGAAUAAGACAAGUAGCGGUGAAAUGCAUAGAUAUGUCUUAGAACUCCGAUUGCGAAGGCAGCUCACUAAGUUAGUAUUGACGCUGAUGCACGAAAGCGUGGGGAUCAAACAGGAUUAGAUACCCUGGUAGUCCACGCCCUAAACGAUGAUAACUCGAUGUUUGCGAUACACAGUAAGCGUCCAAGCGAAAGCGUUAAGUUAUCCACCUGGGGAGUACGGUCGCAAGAUUG